rnacentral:lncRNA from 1 species
CCGGUGGCGGGGGUCGCGAGAGGCGUCAGGAUCCCUGGCGCCGCCUGAGCCAGCGGCUGCUAGGAGGCUGUGUCCGCAAGCCAGCGGGGCGAGGCACCUGGGGCCUGCGCGUCAGGUCCCGGCCUGGGGCACCGGGGCUGCCAGCGUCGGAGGAGGCCUGAGACCUGGGAGGAAGCUGGAGAAAAGAUGCCCUCUGAAUCUUUGUGUUUGGCUGCCCAGGCUCGCCUUGACACCGAAUGGUUGAAAACAGAUAUACAGAUGAUAGUGUCGAACCAAGUGAAACAAAGAAAGAAGAUCUGAAUGACAAAGAGAAAAAAGAUGAAGACGAAACUCCUGCACCUGUAUAUAGGGCCAAGUCAAUUCUGGAGACCUGGGCGUGGGGCAAGCAACCAGAAAAGAAGAGGAAGACAGAGCUCUUACUAGAGGGAGGCAGAGAUGGCACAGCAAGAGACAUGCCCCCAGAAUGGCACCACUGUCCCAGGACAGGCCCACCCAUGGGACCAGGUUAUCAGGGACCCUGUGGGGAUGGGGUGGAAUCUGGGAGGUGAGCCUUCCUCCCCAGGCUGGGAGUAGGUGAGACGAGACUGGGGCCUCUACAU